AGGACAAGUGCCCUGGGAGCUUGUACUUCAGGAAUAUGAGCGACUUUGUCCUCAGUGAGUUAAUGGCCCAUUCAAACAGUGUGAAUGUAAAUGUCUGUGUGUGUGUGUGUGUGUGUGUGUGGGUGUCUGUCUGUCCGUCUGUCUGUGUGUGGCCCCUGAGGCUGAGCUGAUGGCCAAAUACUCAUUGUGUCAGUGUCUAUUUACAGCUUUUGAAGAUAUAGACGGUACGGUCAGCAGGGAAAGAGCUGUGGGGCUCUAAACAUAUUUGGAAUUUCCAAAUUUUUUCCUUCACCAACAGAAAAGGCGCUUAUUCAUUGUGUAUGAUUUGUGGUUGUGCAUUGUGUUAGCCUGUGAACUGGGGAAGCAUGUCCAUGUUACGUUCCCAGGCUUCUAUAGUCCCCGGUCCUAUGCUUCCAAGCUCAAUUUCAUGUUGUUAUGACACAUUAUGGAAACCUAUCAAGGGGUUUUAUGUUCUCACUAAUGUUUUUCCUUCAGCCAGAUGUUCGAUGUAUGUUUCUGUCUCUCAAGAUGUUGAAAUGAGCCACCUACAGCUUGAACCCGACUGAUGUUGUAAUCUUUGAAACCCAUUCCCUCUAAUUUUCAUCUGAGGCAGUUGUAUGUACUUUUAAACAAUAGUUUUCUUCACAGUCCCUAAAUAUAUUGUUACAAUUCAAACUGCAUUAAAUCUCCAUUCUUCUUUUUUUAAAAUUUGAAUAGCAGACGAAACUCUUACAAGUUUCCUUUAAUAUAAGUCAACAUAAGACCCUUGAAACAUGAGGUUUCUUCACUGCAGAAAGUGUGGUUGCUUCACUUAUAUGAUGGUACUGUCCCACUCCAAUCCAUUUUUUUCUACUUAAAGGGAUAUUCCGGUGUAAAAUUAAGUUAGGGUCAAACACACCGUAACACCAAGUUAGACACCCUGUCGAGACAUGAAUGUUGCCGACCGCUUACUUUUGUAGUUAUACCAACUUUAGUAACGACCGCACGAUAGCAAUACACAGAGCCACGCGCUCAACCAAAACGCCA